AGUGAACGCUGGCGGUAGGCCUAACACAUGCAAGUCGAACGGCAGCACAGUAAGAGCUUGCUCUUACGGGUGGCGAGUGGCGUACGGGUGAGGAAUACAUCGGAAUCUACUUUUUCGUGGGGGUUAACGUAGGGAAACUUACGCCAAUACCGCAUACGACCUACGGGUGAAAGCAGUGGAUCUUCGCACCUUGCGCGAUUGAAUGAGCCGAUGUCGGAUUAGAUAGUUGGCGGGGUAAAGGCCCACCAAGGCGACGAUCCGUAGCUGGUCUGAGAGGAUGGUCGGCCACACUGGAGCUGAAACACGGUCCAGACUCCUACGGGAGGCAGCAGUGGGGAAUAGGGGGCAAUGGGCGCAAGCCUGAUCCAGCCAUACCGCGUGGGUGAAGAAAGCCUUCGGGUUGUAAAGCCCUUUUGUUGGGAAAGAAAAGCAGCAGGUUAAUACCACGCUGUUCUGACGGUACCCAAAGAAUAAGCACCGGCUAACUUCGUG
rnacentral:rRNA from 1 species